rnacentral:rRNA from 1 species
AUUGAACGCUGGCGGCAUGCUUUACACAUGCAAGUCGAACGGUAACAGGCCGCAAGGUGCUGACGAGUGGCGAACGGGUGAGUAAUGCAUCGGAGCGUGCCCAGUCGUGGGGGAUAACGCAGCGAAAGCUGCGCUAAUACCGCAUACGAUCUAUGGAUGAAAGCGGGGGACCGUAAGGCCUCGCGCGAUUGGAGCGGCCGAUGUCAGAUUAGGUAGUUGGUGGGGUAAAGGCUCACCAAGCCAACGAUCUGUAGCUGGUCUGAGAGGACGACCAGCCACACUGGGACUGAGACACGGCCCAGACUCCUACGGGAGGCAGCAGUGGGGAAUUUUGGACAAUGGGCGCAAGCCUGAUCCAGCCAUGCCGCGUGUGUGAAGAAGGCCUUCGGGUUGUAAACUGCUUUUGUACGGAACGAAACGGCGAGCUCUAAUACAGUUUGCUAAUGACGGUACCGUAAGAAUAAGCACCGGCUAACUACGUGCCAGCCGCCGCGGUAAAAC